rnacentral:rRNA from 1 species
UACGGGGGGGGCAAGCGUUGUUCGGAAUUACUGGGCGUAAAGGGCUCGAGUAGGCGGCCAACUAAGUCGGAUGUGAAAUCCCCAGGCUUAACCUGGGAACUGCAUCCGAUACUGGAUGGCUUGAAUUCGGGAGAGGGAUGCAGAAUUCCAGGUGUGAGCGGUGAAAUGCGUAGAUAUCUGGAGGAAUACCGGUGGCGAAGGCGGCAUCCUGGACCGACAUUGACGCUGAGGCGCGAAAGCGUGGGGGAGCAAACAGGGAUUAAGAU